CAUGCCGUAAACGGUGGGCGCUAGGUGUAGGGGUCUUCCACGACUUCUGUGCCGUAGCUAACGCAUUAAGCGCCCCGCCUGGGGAGUACGGCCGCAAGGCUAAAACUCAAAGGAAUUGACGGGGACCCGCACAAGCGGCGGAGCAUGCGGAUUAAUUCGAUGCAACGCGAAGAACCUUACCAAGGCUUGACAUGCACCGGUACAGUGUAGAGAUAUGCUGGCCUUUUUGGCUGGUGUGCAGGUGG
rnacentral:rRNA from 1 species